rnacentral:rRNA from 1 species
UACACUCCUGCGGGAGGCAGCAGUGGGGAAUAUUGGACAAUGGGGGCAACCCUGAUCCAGCCAUGCCGCGUGAGUGAUGAAGGCCCUAGGGUUGUAAAGCUCUUUUGUGCGGGAAGAUAAUGACGGUACCGCAAGAAUAAGCCCCGGCUAACUUCGUGCCAGCAGCCGCGGUAAUACGAAGGGGGCUAGCGUUGCUCGGAAUCACUGGGCGUAAAGGGUGCGUAGGCGGGUCUUUAAGUCAGGGGUGAAAUCCUGGAGCUCAACUCCAGAACUGCCUUUGAUACUGAGGAUCUUGAGUCCGGAAGAGGUGAGUGGAACUGCGAGUGUAGAGGUGAAAUUCGUAGAUAUUCGCAAGAACACCAGUGGCGAAGGCGGCUCACUGGUCCGGUACUGACGCUGAGGCACGAAAGCGUGGGGAGCAAACAGGAUUAGAAACCCCUGUAGUCCC